rnacentral:rRNA from 1 species
CACGUAGGGUGCGAGCGUUGUCCGGAAUUAUUGGGCGUAAAGAGCUCGUAGGCGGUGUGUCGCGUCGGCCGUGAAAACCUGCAGCUUAACUGUGGGCUUGCGGUCGAUACGGGCAUCACUGGAGUUCGGCAGGGGAGACUGGAAUUCCUGGUGUAGCGGUGAAAUGCGCAGAUAUCUGGAGGAACACCGGUGGCGAAGGCGGCAUCCUGGACCAACACUGACGCUGAGGAGCGAAAGCCAGGGGAGCAAACGGG